AGCGAACGCUGGCGGCAGGCCUGACACAUGCAAGUCGAACGGACCCUUCGGGGUUAGUGGCGGACGGGUGAGUAACACGUGGGAACGUGCCUUUAGGUUCGGAAUAGCUCCUGGAAACGGGUGGUAAUGCCGAAUGUGCCCUUCGGGGGAAAGAUUUAUCGCCUUUAGAGCGGCCCGCGUCUGAUUAGCUAGUUGGUGAGGUAACGGCUCACCAAGGCGACGAUCAGUAGCUGGUCUGAGAGGAUGACCAGCCACACUGGGGCUGAGACACGGCCCAGACUCCUACGGGAGGCAGCAGUGGGGAAUCUUGCGCAAUGGGCGAAAGCCUGACGCAGCCAUGCCGCGUGAAUGAUGAAGGUCUUAGGAUUGUAAAAUUCUUUCACCGGGGACGAUAAUGACGGUACCCGGAGAAGAAGCCCCGGCUAACUUCGUGCCAGCAGCCGCAGUAA
rnacentral:rRNA from 1 species